GAUGAGAUCUUCCUGCAUGAAGAGGCUUCCCAGUAAUGAGCUUCCUGCUCAUGGUGGAGAAGGCAGAGUGGUGCUGCCAGUUCACUCAAAAGCGCAGCACUGGCUGCUGUAAGGCUCCAGACUACCACGGCCAAAUCUUAAAGGGUGAUGUAUUGCCCCACAGCAAAGAUGGAGUCUUUCUUUCAAAGUGAGACUGGAGUUUUUCUCAGAGACGUGACUGCACUAUGAAUUCUUCCAGGUAGAGUUUCCACAAUUGUCACAGAAAUCGUUUCUAUGCUAUAAGCACACUCUUCUGUGCCUCACGUGCCCUCCCCCCCACCACCACCACCACAGGCCCGC
rnacentral:lncRNA from 1 species